rnacentral:lncRNA from 1 species
AAGCAGGGACAGCUUGUGGCAAUCACCGACUUCUUCGGAAUGGGCGCAGCAGCAGCAGGAACCGGCUUUAAGCACAGAGGGAUGGAGUGGGGUUGUACUCGGUGAGGGAGUUUCUUUGCUUGAUCACAUUCGAGCGUGGAGAGAAGCGGCGGCGGGAGUUGGAGGCAAUCUUUAAUGGCUCCUCAAUCAAAUUAUGCAGAUAGAUGACAACAGCAACAACAUAAUUAUGGUCAACCAUCUGUUUCUCCAUAUUCUCAAAGUUAUACUGUGCGACAUUCGUCUUCUGUGGGAUAGCAACACUCGUCAAGAUUAUGCUGUGACUUUCUUCUUCUUCUUCUUCUUUAUNUUUUUUUUGUAGGAAUUGGUGAUUAUGCACGCAUCCAUUGAAAAGCUGUGGAGUUUUUUUUUUUUCAUGUAGAAGUUUUAUGUUGCCCCAACUUCAACUAUUGAUCGAGCGCAUUCAACCAAGGAAUUUUACUUAUAAAAAUUGAUGGAGUGCAUUCAACCGAAGAAUUUUGCUUGAUGAGGAGUAAUAUAUGCGGAACAGAGGAAUGACUUUACCAGGGGAAUCACGGGGAGCAGUGAGACGGCUUUCAUCAGAGGAAUCACACUCAGCAGAUGAAUCACACUCACCAGAGGAAUGGUCUUCACCAGAGGAAUCACCAGAAACGCGGGGAAAUCUCCCGCGUGAAGCGAUUUUACUAUUAUGCCCCUGACCACGCAAGACGCAUGCUCCAGUGCUGAAUUUACCAUUUUACCCUUUACGUGUACUCUAUAAAUAGUGGCAUACGUGCUCCUUGUAAUUUACGCUAUCUUUUAUUAUCAAGCAGCAAUUUUACUCUCGUGCUCAAAAACCCCGAUUACUCUCUUUCGUCUUCUCCGAUCUAAACUAGGUACAGUUCACGAUUUCCUAACAAUUCUCCGAUAAAAUCCAUCUCCAUUUAACCAUGCUUCACCA